rnacentral:rRNA from 1 species
AUUGAACGCUAGCGGCAUGCCUUACACAUGCAAGUCGAACGGGCAGUAGCGAUACUGUCAGUGGCGGACGGGUGAGUAACGCGUAGGAAUCUAUCCUUGAAUGGGGGACAACCGUGGGAAACUACGGCUAAUACCGCAUGAUCCCUGAGGGGCAAAGGCGAAAGUCGCCUGAGGAGGAGCCUGCGUCUGAUUAGGUAGUUGGUGGGGUAAUGGCCUACCAAGGCGACGAUCAGUAGCUGGUCUGAGAGGAUGAUCAGCCACACUGGGACUGAGACACGGCCCAGACUCCUACGGGAGGCAGCAGUGGGGAAUAUUGGACAAUGGGCGCAAGCCUGAUCCAGCAAUGCCGCGUGGGUGAAGAAGGUCUUCGGAUUGUAAAGUCCUUUUGGCGGGGACGAUGAUGACGGUACCCGCAGAAUAAGCUCCGGCUAACUUCGUG